GAUAAAGAGCAUUCAUAAUAUCAUCGUCUAUUCUAUCACCAACUGCUACAUCAUGUAGAAAAUCAAUAUCGCUAAAUUGAAAACAAGGGUGAUCAUUAUCAAGGAUUCCGAAGGGUUCAUUUGGAUUUGUAGGUUGGCUACUACUUUGAACUUGCUUAUCUUUUCUAGGUCGGGGAGCCGGGGGAGGGGUAGUAUUUUGGCGACUACUUUCAUCGGUUUUAGAUUUUCCUUUACCGAACAUAUUCUUCAACGAAAAUGCCAUA
rnacentral:lncRNA from 1 species